rnacentral:rRNA from 1 species
ACACUCCUACGGGAGGCAGCAGUGGGGAAUUUUGGACAAUGGGCGAAAGCCUGAUCCAGCAAUGCCGCGUGAGUGAAGAAGGCCUUCGGGUUGUAAAGCUCUUUUGUCAGGGAAGAAACGGUGAGAGCUAAUAUCUCUUGCUAAUGACGGUACCUGAAGAAUAAGCACCGGCUAACUACGUGCCAGCAGCCGCGGUAAUACGUAGGGUGCAAGCGUUAAUCGGAAUUACUGGGCGUAAAGCGUGCGCAGGCGGUUUUGUAAGUCUGAUGUGAAAUCCCCGGGCUCAACCUGGGAAUUGCAUUGGAGACUGCAAGGCUAGAAUCUGGCAGAGGGGGGUAGAAUUCCACGUGUAGCAGUGAAAUGCGUAGAUAUGUGGAGGAACACCGAUGGCGAAGGCAGCCCCCUGGGUCAAGAUUGACGCUCAUGCACGAAAGCGUGGGGAGCAAACAGGAUUAGAAACCCCAGUAGUCCCAUGAU